ensembl:lncRNA
CAUUGUGACACUUACUCAUUGCCGAUAUCAUCAGCACAAUUGCCAGGCAGAUCUCCCACUGGGGAGAAGUCUCUUCCUUCCUAAUAUAGCUGCUGCAGGGGUAGAAGAUCUGGCCGACCAGUUUACAUCUACAUACGAGACAUGCAGAGAAACAGUUGCAAAAUGUCUAUCUUCCCUCAACAAGUGAGAAGAGGAGCUCUAAGCAUUAAAGAGGUAAAAUUAAAGAGGAAUUGAAAUAGGACCAUUUUUCCCAUUGCUGCAACAGAACUAUCAUUCAUCUAGAACUGCUCAGGCUUUGGUGUAUGCUUAGGCAGUGCUGAGCUAUGCAAAGUAGAAUGGUGUGAUAGUAGUGCUGUACAUUUUGCAGUAAUAUCCAUGCAUAACAACACUCUUCCUCAAUAUCAUUUAGAAUCAAACUACUACUGUAAUGCUAAUACAUGAUGUAGGAGAUUUAGCAAGAGAGGAAGAAGGAAAUUCUCUACAGCUGUGAUGGAUGGAGACAAGAGAUAUUAAUCCUGUAAAGGAGUCAUAAUGUUUAACUCCUCUGAGUGUCUUGAAGAUUGAUUUUAUGUGCAUUUCCAUACUGUCCACUAUUUUAUCUGAGGGCAUGCAGCACUGUAACAGGACUCUAUUUAAGUGCAGUGAGUCAUGGAGUGACAGAUAUUGACACGGUAUUGUGGUGUGGCACAAUUGUUCCUCAGUUCAGUGAUUAAUGAUUUCUUUCCUCUUAGGUCUAAUGAAUGUUCCAAGAGGUGUACCCCUGAGCAUAGUUGUUUAAUGAUCGAAAAGCUGAGUCUUUUGGUCAUUUUUAUUACUAUUAAUAUUACUAUUUGAAAUGUUUUAUCGGUACCUCUUCUAAAUCUACAUAAACUUUUAUCAGGUUACAAGAUAGAUUAAUGGCAUAUUUUGACUGUUUGAAGUCUUACAAUUGUAUUUUUAUGUAUUCACAUAAUGAUUUUUCUGACACAAUAUUUUCUGGCUAGCAUCCAUCUCAUUUAACUCUCAGAAAGUGUUUUUUUGUUGGUUCUGUUAGCUACUUAAAAACUGACAUUCCCACUGUCCUCCUUCCCAGGAGCAAAUACCCAGCUGUAUACCAUGGGCAGCACCUCAUAAAGUGCUCUUACUGCAAGGACAGUUAAUCACCAAAAAACAAAGGUUGAGAUUACCCUUAGCAGAAAGGAAUGAUGGAUAUUCUUUUCUAGUUUUGCAGGAGGAAGAACUCUUGGUGAUCCAAAAUUGCUGGAUAAAGCCCUUUGGACUCUCUUCUAACUCACAAACUCAUGAGAAAGAUCCAAUCUGUACCCUACCUGCCUGCGUGCUGGCUCUUUUCCUGUGGCCUCAAGAGGUUUUGCAGAUACUGAGGCUGCAAUCAGUCACUUACAAAGAAAGCACAGUCUCAGGCAUGAGCCAGAUUCCCAGAGAAGGCAACAUCCUUCAAGGCCUGUAUUAUCACAGGAAGCAACCAUCAACAUUGUCCAGAGAUUUCGAUAAAAAGCCCAUGCUUCUGCACAAAGAUUGUCUCAUGAAUCAGAGGAUCAUGUCCUUUGCAUGUAUGAUAUGGUUCUUAGAACAGUUAUAUAGUUCAUUGGCUCCUAUAAAAUGCUGAGUCUGCAAGAGACACUGUCAAGUUCCAGUUACUUUUAUAGUCUGAGAUGGGGGUUUCCACUGAGAGAGUAUACGAAGAUGAAAGAGGAAGAAUUGCUAUGGGAAGAGGUUUUAUUAAAAAUACAGCUGAAGGUUUUUUCAUCAUAUCUUUGAGUAAACAUUAGUGGGAUAGUGACAGAAGAUGUGUCACUGGAUUUAUUUACUGUAAGACAGUUCUGCCGAGUAAAGUACCAUAUGAAAGCAGCAUGUGUUUUUUUAAUAUAAUGUAAAGAGUAACUUAUUACAGUGACUUUAUUUUCUUCUUGUUUGAUGGAUUGUUGCCAUUUAUUACCACCGAGUAAUGAAACCUAUACUGUGUUUUACACGACAGUAGAAUGUCUUGGGCAGCAUUAAUCAGCCUCACGAAGUGUUCAAGAGAAAUAAUGAAAGAAAGAACUGGCAUGCAAGGCAAGUGCCUUCCAGUUUGUCUCCUGCAACCUUCCUUCCUCUGAAACAUUCAUCAUCUUCCUCUUAGUUUGCCAGGAUCUAAAAUCAGGCAGAUAUUUUCUUAUUAAUAUUGAGGCAGGGCACUGAGAGCUGCCAUCACAUCUUUCUUUAGCUGAGAGAAAAUUACCUCAGCUUAAGCUCAACUACCUCCUGCUAUUUGUAAGUCUAGGGCUUCACAAGCUGCGUUACUUGGCUUGUAUGCUAUGUGCACCUUGAUGAUUCUCCAUGUUUUAUCAUAACUGAUUGUAUACAUAUUCUUAAAGCACGAGAGAGUCUGCAGGCUGGGAUAGAAUCUCAGUCCCAAAUGGAUCAGAAUCUAGGAGGUAAGAGGUGUGCUAUUGUAUCUAAAGGGAUAAGAGACAGCCAAGAAAUACAAGAUACAAAAACAAGGCUACCAAGGAGCUGAGUUCAUGGAGCAAUGAAUGUAUUUACUGAGGACUUCACAUCCUUUUGGAUAGAAUAUCCGGGGACUGGUUGUCAGCAUACAAGAUGAAUCAAAAUGUGAAUCCUUUCAAGAGUUUGCAUAGAAACCAUGGAAUCUAAUGAGUCAGAAAUAGAGAUGCUCAAGGCACUCGAUUUUGUACUGUCAGAUCUUUUCUUUCUCAGAACUCUCAAGAGUUUUUGUUAUCUAUCAGUUCAACAUAAGGAACGUUUUUACUGCUAAGGAACAGGUAAAGCAAUUUGCUGGCAGAGGCUUUGCCUCUUGUUCUGUCCAGAUAAUGCCAGGGCAUAGAUCACUCUGAGCAAUUACAAUCAUCAGUAACAGAAUUUAGAAAUCACACUUUUGCUGUUAAACACUUGCCAUUACAUUAUAUGACUUCUACAAUGCAGAUCUUUCAUUUGGUACAACAUCAACAUCUUCCUCCUUAGCUAUGACUCCUGCCCUUUCCUCGUCAGUCUGGUUCACCAAAUUGCUAGUUGAUGAACAAAUACUCUGUGCAUGACAACAGAAGGUUAUGCCUUACUGUGUGUUCAUUACAGCCCUUAACCAGUAGCUGAAAGCGUAGUAAAAAAGAUAUCAAGAAAUUUUGUUUUCUG